AGAGUUUGGAUCAUGGCUCAGAACGAACGCUGGCGGCGCGCUUAACACAUGCAAGUCGAACGAGAGGCCGUAGCAAUACGGUAGUAAAGUGGCGAACGGGUGAGUAAUGCGUGGGUGACUUACCCUAGAGUGGGGGAUAACUCGCCGAAAGGUGAGCUAAUACCGCGUACGCUUCCAUUCUUGCGAGGGUGGAAGGAAAGCUAUACCGUGGGUAUGGCGCUCAAGGAUGGGCUCACGUCCUAUCAGCUUGUUGGUAGGGUAACGGCCUACCAAGGCUACGACGGGUAGCUGGUCUGAGAGGACGACCAGCCACACUGGCACUGCGACACGGGCCAGACUCCUACGGGAGGCAGCAGUGAGGAAUAUUGCGCAAUGGGCGAAAGCCUGACGCAGCGACGCCGCGUGGGGGAUGAAGGUCUUCGGAUUGUAAACCCCUUUCGGGAGGGAAGAUGGGACGGGUAACCGUUCGGACGGUACCUCCAGAAGCAGCCACGGCUAACUUCGUGCCAGCAGCCGCGGUAAUACGAAGGUGGCAAGCGUUUGUUCGGAUUUACUGGGCGUAAAGGGAGCGUAGGCGGUUUGGUAAGCCCUUCGGGAAAUCUCCCGGCUUAACCGGGAAAGGUCGGAGGGGACUGCCAGGCUAGANGAUGGGAAGAGGAACGCGGAAUUCCCGGUGUAGCGGUGAAAUG
rnacentral:rRNA from 1 species